CGCUGAAUUGGACGCGCACUGGCGGUAGCAAUCAGGGACAGCUCUACUACGGGAUAGGUGUUGAGACAGAGCAAGGGGUGGCGAAGUGAGUGCCCCUACAUCGAACGACUGACGGGU
rnacentral:sRNA from 12 species